rnacentral:rRNA from 1 species
CUACGGGACGCUGCAGUAAGGAAUAUUGCGCAAUGGAGGCAACUCUGACGCAGCCAUGCCGCGUGCAGGAAGAAGGCCUUAUGGGUCGUAAACUGCUUUUAUUUAGGAAUAAACCCUCGCUCGUGAGCGAGGCUGAAGGUACUGAAUGAAUAAGCACCGGCUAACUCCGGCCAGCAGCCGCGGUAAUACGGAGGGUGCAAGCGUUAUCCGGAUUUAUUGGGUUUAAAGGUGCGCAGGCGGGCUAUUAAGUCAGUGGUGAAAUCCCGGGGCUCAACUCCGGAACUGCCAUUGAUACUGAUAGUCUUGAGUUUGGUUGAAGUGGGCGGAAUGUAGCGUGUAGCGGUGAAAUGCAUAGAUAUGCUACAGAACACCAAUCGCGAAGGCAGCUCACUAAGCCAAAACUGACGCUCAUGCACGAAAGCGUGGGGAUCAAACAGGAUUAGAUACCCGGGUAGUC